AAUUUUAUAUUUGAAAAUAAAAAUGGCCGCAAAGUGCAAAACUGCAGGCGCAAUGCCAUGCGACUUGACCCGCGACGUUUGCCAGUUGAAGGAAUCGGUGAGGUCACAGGGCAAGCAGCUUGGGCGGCUGGUCAGGCACAUGAAGAUGGGGUGCAAAAAGCCGCCAAAUCAGAGCACUCUAAAGGGUCUCAAUCCCUGCCUGCCUUGCUUCAAGCCUGACUUUCUCUAUCAUCUGGGCAUGGACACGGCCACGACGAACUUCCCCAAGGUCUUUGGCGAUGUGCGGUUUGUUUGCAUGGGUGGUACGCCUGGACGCAUGGAGAGAUUUGCUUAUAGGAUUAUGAAGGACCUCCGUCUGAAGCUGAGCCCGGUAACUACUCUUAGGAAUAUGACCGAUGGUCAUCGCUUUGCGCUCUACAAAGUGGGCCCAGUACUGUGUGUAACUCAUGGCAUGGGGUGUCCGUCGAUUUCCAUACUGCUCCAUGAGCUCAUCAAGAUGAUGCACUAUGCAAAGUGUCAGAAUCCCGUCUUCAUCAGAAUUGGGACCUGCGGCGGCAUCGGAAUAGAGCCCGGAACCGUGGUCAUCAGCUCGGAGGCACUGGACUGCAAGCUCAAUCCCUGUUAUGAGGUAAUCGUUCAGGGAAAAAUCGUGCAGCAUUGCAGCAAACUAGACCAGUGUUUGGCCCAAGAACUCCGAUCACUGGCGAAUCCUUGCGAAGUUGACUUUGAGGCAAUUAUUGGUAAGACCAUUUGCGCCGACGACUUCUACGAAGGCCAGUCCCGACUCGAUGGUGCCUUCUGCGACUACACGAGUCACUCGAAGAUCGCCUAUCUUUUGGGCCUGAAGGAUAACGGAGUGGUCAAUUUCGAUAUGGAGAGUACCGCUUUUGCCGCUCUCACAAAAAGGGCCAAUAUACGCUCUGCCGUCGUCUGCGUUAGCGUCAUCGAUCGUAUAAAGGGUGAUCAGAUACGUGCAUGUCCGAAGUCCGUAAGUGAGUGGGAGAAGCGACCUCGGGAGCUCGUGUCGCGAUACAUUCGCAAAGUACUCCUGGACGAAGUGAAAGUAAAAGACGUUCCUGCCCGCUGCGUGGGAGGAGAAUCGGUGAUCUGAAUUUCAGCGAAGGAUUAUUUAUUUACGUACUUUCGCGGCACGCCCGAGGCUUUCUAUGGCACGUCGAAGUUCUCAGUUCUCCAAGUAUUCAGCUCUCUGCCAAAAUAAGACCAAACCUGUUACUAUAUCUAGAUAGAGGCAUUCUGGACGCACACUGCACGAAGAAGAGUGAGAGAGAAUGAGUAAGCGCGUGGAAGGGGGUUGCCUAGCCACUGCAGAUUGAUUUCUUCACUCUGGGUAUAAUAAGGAUUUGGUAAUCUGGUAGCCGGUAGCCACAAGGACGAGGACGCGACAUUGAAAUACACUUGCAACCGUGUAAUAUCACAGGAGUCUGCGUACAAACUUGGGUUUCUCUAGCUCUUGUUUAUCUGAGAUCUAGGCGCUCAUCGGGACGGACAGACAUAGCUAUAUCCACUCGACUUUUGAUGCUGAUUAAGAAUAUACAUACUUUGGGGGUCGGAAACGCUUCCGUCUGGGUGUUACACAAAUCCCCCACAAAACUAAUC